GUUUCCGUAGUGUAGUGGUUAUCACGUUUGCCUUACACGCAAAAGGUCCCCAGUUCGAAACUGGGCGGAAACA
rnacentral:tRNA from 1 species